CGGUUUUAAAGUGGCAACGCUGGCGGCGUGCUUAACACAUGCAAAUGUCUGAACGAUGAAGCCCAGCUUGCUGGGUGGAAGAGUGGCGAACGGGUGAGUAACACGUGAGUAACCUGCCCCGGACUCUGGGAUAAGCGCUGGAAACGGCGUCUAAUACUGGAUAUGACCCAUACCGGCAUCGGUUGUGGGUGGAAAGAUUUAUCGGUUCGGGAUGGGCUCGCGGCCUAUCAGCUGGAUGGUGAGGUAACGGCUCACCAUGGCGACGACGGGUAGCCGGCCUGAGAGGGUGACCGGCCACACUGGGACUGAGACACGGCCCAGACUCCUACGGGAGGCAGCAGUGGGGAAUAUUGCACAAUGGGCGAAAGCCUGAUGCAGCAACGCCGCGUGAGGGAUGACGGCCUUCGGGUUGUAAACCUCUUUUAGUAGGGAAGAAGCGAAAGUGACGGUACCUGCAGAAAAAGCACCGGCUAACUACGUGCCAGCAGCCGCGGUAAUACGUAGGGUGCAAGCGUUGUCCGGAAUUAUUGGGCGUAAAGAGCUCGUAGGCGGCUUGUCGCGUCUGCCGUGAAAACCCAGGGCUCAACCCUGGGCGUGCGGUGGGUACGGGCAGGCUAGAGUGCGGUAGGGGAGAUUGGAUUCCUGGUGUAGCUGUGGAAU
rnacentral:rRNA from 1 species